rnacentral:rRNA from 1 species
GAUGAACGCUGGCGGCGUGCCUAAUACAUGCAAGUCGAGCGAACAGACGAGGAGCUUGCUCCUCUGACGUUAGCGGCGGACGGGUGAGUAACACGUGGAUAACCUACCUAUAAGACUGGGAUAACUUCGGGAAACCGGAGCUAAUACCGGAUAAUAUAUUGAACCGCAUGGUUCAAUAGUGAAAGACGGUUUUGAUGUCACUUAUAGAUGGAUCCGCGCCGCAUUAGCUAGUUGGUAAGGUAACGGCUUACCAAGGCGACGAUGCGUAGCCGACCUGAGAGGGUGAUCGGCCACACUGGAACUGAGACACGGUCCAGACUCCUACGGGAGGCAGCAGUAGGGAAUCUUCCGCAAUGGGCGAAAGCCUGACGGAGCAACGCCGCGUGAGUGAUGAAGGUCUUCGGAUCGUAAAACUCUGUUAUUAGGGAAGAACAAAUGUGUAAGUAACUAUGCACGUCUUGACGGUACCUAAUCAGAAAGCCACGGCUAACUGCGUG